rnacentral:tRNA from 1 species
UCCCUGGUGGCUCAGAUGGUAAAGCGUCUGCCUACAGUGUAGGAGACCUGGGUUCAAUCCCUGGGUUGGGAA